rnacentral:tRNA from 1 species
GGACUCUGUAGCUCAAUAGGUUAGAGCGCUGCACCGGAAUCACAGAGCAUCAGGUUCGACUCCUGCAUGCCA